rnacentral:lncRNA from 1 species
UUUUUUAAGCUCAAUUUAGGUUCCAAAUUGAUUGAAUAGCAUGGAAAUGAUUGGAAAUGAAUUAGUUGGUUGUUUUAUAAUAGAAAUUAGGAAAAAUGUUCAAGGUUUGCUAUCAAAACACCUUAUAGCUCAGGCCGAGCGAGUGGAUCGGGUAUAAGGUGUGACACAUAUGGUUAAGAUUAUUCCAAAAUUGUCUAAAGUACACAAUCACAA